rnacentral:rRNA from 1 species
CCUACGGGGGGCAGCAGUGGGGAAUAUUGCACAAUGGGGGAAACCCUGAUGCAGCGACGCCGCGUGAGUGAAGAAGUAAUUCGUUAUGUAAAGCUCUAUCAGCAGGGAAGAAAAUGACGGUACCUGAGUAAGCAGCCACGGCUAACUACGUGCCAGCAGCCGCGGUAAUACGUAGGGGGCAAGCGUUAUCCGGAUUUACUGGGUGUAAAGGGAGCGUAGACGGCAGUGCAAGUCUGGAGUGAAAGGCGGGGGCUCAACCCCCGGACUGCUCUGGAAACUGUACGGCUGGAGUUGGAGAGAAGUACGCGGAAUGCGCGGUGUAGCGGUGAAAUGCUUAGAUAUCGCGCAGAACCCCGAUUGCGAAGGCAGCGUACCGGCUCCACACUGACGCUGAGGCACGAAAGCGUGGGUAUCGAACAGGAUUAGAUACCCUGGUAGUC